UUUUUCUUUUCUUUUUUUUUCCUGUUUUUUUUUGUUUGUUUGUUUGUUUGUUUUUUUGUCUUUUGUCUUUUGUUGUUGUUGUUGUUGUUGCUAUUUCUUGGGCCGCUCCCGCGGCAUAUGGAGGUUCCCAGGCUAGGGGUUGAAUCGCAGCUGUAGCCACCGGCCUACGCCAGAGCCACAGCAACUCGGGAUCCGAGCCGCAUCUGCAACCUACACCACAGCUCACGGCAACGCCGGAUCGUUAACCCACUGAGCAAGGGAAGGGACCGAACCCGCAACCUCAUGGUUCCUAGCCGGAUUCGUUAACCACUGCGCCACGACGGGAACUCCUUUUUUCCUGUUUUUUAUUUAUUUACUUUCUUUAAGGGCCACCUGCAGCAUAACAGCAAUGCCUGAUCCUUAACCCACUGAGGGAGGCCCGGGAUUGAACCCGAAUCCUCACAGAUACUAUGCUGGGUUCUUAACCCACUAAGCCACAACAGAAACUCCAAGUCUUUAAUGUUUUACCUCUGGAGCCGAAAUUAAGAAAUUAUGCAUGUUUGUGUAUGCAUGAAUACUCGUGCCAGCUUUUAGAAACGGAUUCUCCGCCUCCCGUCUCCUGGCCCCUCUAAAGAGCCUAACACCUUGAUUCGAUUUGGAAAUGUAUCUCGGCAAAAAGUUCUCCUCACCCGCCCAAGUGAGAACCAAGUCCCCACAGGAAAUGGUUAGAAAUCAGACCCGCGAGGGGAGAUUAUUCCAUCUACCGAGGCAGUGCUGGUGCUACUGCUGACACCGUUUUGUUGACAGUUACCCUGGAAUGUGAGAACCCACGCUGGCCGCUGGGGAAAUAAGACAAGCCAAGUUCUACCUGAUGAUCGGCUGACGUGUUCUUGCAGAAUGGCAGUGACAGCACAGCUAGAACCCAUUUCAUUUUCAGACGAAAACAAAGUUUUGUUCCUGCAGUAGUGAGGAAUAACAACAGGCUUCCAGCGGGUAAGGCGAGGGUGGUAUCAAGGUUUUAUUUAGCAACGAGCACUAAAAAUAGUCCCCCAGAGACGUGAGCCCAUGGGUAACAGCUUUGACAGAAAGGCCCUGGGGUACUUCUAGUUCUUACUCAUUGAUUCAUGUUCUUCUUGAGAAAAAAACGAAAACUUUUUAACAAAAAAACACAGCGACCUUGGAGUGUGCAGACACCGUCAAGGUGCAUCUUCUCUUUCUCUUCGCCGCCGCGAGCUUUGCCCCCGCACCGACCCCCUUCCUGUCUUAGCAGCAAACUGAUCAAAUCGUGACUGCGGGACCUGAGAACAAAACUCCAGGUACUGAGGACUCCAUGGAAGGUUCACCCCCUGUGCUGAUUCCCAGUUCUUCUCCAUGGAAACGGCUUCAUUUUUUCCCCAACGAAUAGUCACUGGCAGGUGACACUGUAAACGGAAUAAACUUUUGCCUAAGGUUUGUUGUACACAUUCAAAGUCCUCCAAGUGACCUCAUCAACAUGUCCCAGAGCUGAGAACACCUCAAGGUUUCCAGGGCUAAAAAUUUGCUAACAUUUCUAAGGCACUCAUAGACUGAAUAUGGCACAUCACGGAUGUAUCUUAAGAAGUCAUCUUUUAUUACGGAGAAAAGCAUACUUUUGCAAAAAGGAAAGGAAACAAGUCAUAAAUCCACGGUAAAAGUAUACUGACAGGGGGAGUUCCUUUGUGGCACAGUGGGUUAAAGAUCUGGCCUUGUCACUGCAGCAGCCUGAGUCGCAGCCAUGGGGUGGGUUUGAUUCCGGCCUGGGAAUUUCCACACACUGUGGGCACAGCCCGCACACAAAACAGUACAUGGAUAGGUAUUUUUCUUUUUUUAACAAACAAAUACUGAUUGAGAUUCAAUGGAUCCACGUGCAGGGGAGGGGCAGCUGCAGAGCGUCUGAAAAUAUAUGCUGCAGCCAGCUAACAUUCCACAAGAAUUUACAGUCUGGGGUGGAGGAGAUUCAAAUGGAUGAAAGGUUAAUUCUACUGUAAGGUAACAUCAUUUAGGAGACAAGACUAUGUAUUUGAAUCCAAGUCACACGAAUUUUAGCUGGUGGCCUUCAUUUAAAUUCUUCGAGAGGUUUCCUCAUCCCUAAGGUGAGGACAGGAAUAGUGCCUUUCUCAUGGGGUUUGAGGAGGAAGGCGGAAAAUGCUCUUAGCACAAGGCCUGGCACGUGGUGAGCACUCAGGAAAGGCUGUCUCUGGCACAUGGUGCAAAGUAUGUACUGCAGACAGGUCAUGAGAGCCUGGAACCGGAGAGGAGGCACAAUGAAAGACAGCAAGGGACCGUCACACCCGAGAGAGACCACUUCGACAGGCGCUUGGAAGAGUCUUAGGACAAGGAUGGGCAGAGGGCCGUCCUAUUACAGGCUGUUGGGAUGGAGCAGAGGAAGGACAGACAUGUCAUGUCUGCUGGACCAGCCUGACUAGAGCAGAAGGUGUGCAAUGAAGGGUCCUAGGACAUAAGAUUGGAAAAGGAAGUGGAGGCCAAAUGCUGAGGAACUCUGAACAAAAAGCAACAUCACCUUGACUUUGUUGGUAGCGGGGAGUGAUGAGAGGUUGCUGCCAUUGCAUGUUUACCAAAAACAGCGACAUGAACUUAUCAAAUGUAUCCUUUGACAACAAACCCUGGAGAAUAAGAUCCAGGAUAGUGAUGAGAGAAACGGACCUGUUCAGAAGGGUGUAUAGAAUUCCUAAACCAAGCAUCACAGGCAUAUCCCUGCUCUGGUCUCGGUCUAUUUUCAGAUAGAUGUACUUUCAGUGGAAAAGGUGAUAGUUGUUCUGCUUUUACCUAAGAAGCAAACAUGUCUGGCCCACUGAGGUCUCUAAGCAGGACAGAAUAACACAGUGGUAAACAAAACUACUGCGUCAAUCACGUGCCUGGCCUUCAAAAAAUGUCUGCAGAUGACAUCGCUGUGACUACAAGCCUGCUGUCGUCAGAUCUCUUAGUUAGGUGAGCACACCAAAUUACACCUCAUAAUACUUAACGCAGAGGGAUUGGAGGGCAUACCGAAGAUUCCUAUACAGUUCACGCCCUCCGGAAUAUUGAAAACAGAAGUAGACUAAUAGAAGUUUUCAUUUGAAAGUUCCAGAACUCUUAAAAACUUCAAAACCUAAUGCAGGUUUCCAUGUACACCGUUUUAGAUUUUAAAAUACACUGUUGGCUUUUUUCUGUGACUAAAUAUUACAGAACAGCAAGCACAGCCUAUACGCCCUUCUUCAGACAUCGUACGGAGAUAAGUGAGUCAUUUUAGUCUUGGUAGAAAUUUCUCUAUUACCCUAGAAUAAAAGUUAGUAGUGGACAUGGAGAAGUAUGGAUCCUCUCUGACCUGCAUUUAUUCCUCUCUUUUCCUUCAGUGUAGAUAUGGCUCAGGACCAAAUCUAAAAAAAAUUACGUGAAGCAUAUAUAAAUAUAGAUAUAGGAAAGCAUUUAUCAUCUUUUACCAAAGAAUAGCUUUCAACUCCAAAGACCAGUGUUUCGCAGCUGGGAAUUAUAACAGCAAAGGUUAGAAGUGGCCAGAGACAAAGCUGUGGAGCAAGCUGUGUGGGGUGUUUUCAGCCCCUCGGAUCCCACGAGGCAGCCUCCUCAAAGAACAGGGCUGCAUUUUACAGCACCCAGCUCCUCACUGCAAAGAGCCUUGUGCUCAGAAAACAGGUUUCUGCCUUUCUUUCCAUCAGCCCCAGUGAAGCCAAGUCUCUGUAGUCCGUCUGAUGAAUUACGAAUGCGCCUGAGAAUCAAAAGAAUGAUGACGAUAUGAGUCACACCUUCGGGGGCCUGGGGACCGAGGGGUCCAUGUGAUGAGACACUUUCAGGGAGAGCAUUUAACGGCUGCCUCUACCGACAGAAGGGACUGGGGAGACACGCUUCCCCACCGAAUCCCUGAGUCAGGUCAUUCAGGCAACCAGUCAGCCCACCAGGGAGGUCGCCCUGCCUGAGGAUAAGGGGUGCCUGUCCCCAGGGGCCGGUCCAGCACUGUGGAAAGGAGUAUCGCUGAUUCCUCAACUCCGGGCCCAGAGUGCUACGCAGAGCACUGUGUGAGCUAAUUCCGGGCUGCAGUUCUCCCCUGGCUGCCUGGUGCCACGGUGACCCUCGGCUACCAAGCCUGGGAAAGCGUUGCUGUGACGAAUGCAAGGGCAGGGUCAGCUCGGAAUCUUAUUUCAGUUCCCUUCCACCUGGACGGCCAACACCUCGGCCCAUCCCUGGCAGGGCUGGUGUGUGUCGUGCUAUGCGACAAAGGCGGAGCUCCACUGAUGCAGGAUAAGAAGUGACCCUUACUCUCCUGACCCACAGCAACUCCCACCCCCGAGGGCCCCCCCACCCGCCCACAGGUGUGCUCCGAGCCCCAGCAGCACAGGAACCCUGGAAGAGGCGGUGCAGGAGAGCCGUCACCUGGCAGAGGUCACUUCAACAGCCCUAAUCUUAAAAUAAAAUAAAAUGUUACUAGCCUGAAAACUUCUUGAGUGCAAGGAUUAUGUUUUAUAAUCCAUUGUAACAUUCAGCAUAAGCCCUAUAGCUAAUGUUUAUUGAGCAAAUAAGUGAAAAAUUAAAAAGACUGGGAAAGGAAUGCUGCUGAGAGCAGUUAGACCUACUGAACUGUGAUUUUUAAACUGGUUUAGCAUCAGGAUCUUUGAUGCCACUGAAAGCUUCUGUUGGUUGGUCAAAGGGUAAAACGGAGAAAGAGCAACUGACUGAAGCUUUUGGGAAAAGGAGGAGCCAGGCACUGCCUGCGCUUCUCCCCCACCCCGCCCCCCUUUACCAGCUGCCGGAGCCACCGCCCUGAGAGCACGGGGCUUUCUCAGCGCACAGAGUAAACACAAGCACAUGCGACGUUCAAUGCCGAAACUGCAAGGAUAAAAUUUACCAGGUUUAUUAUUGCAAUUCUCACACAGACCAUAGGUUCUGGCACAUGGUAGGUGCUCAGUAAACAUGAAUAAAUGAGUAGAGGAUUGUCGCAUUUAAAUAAACCACUCAAGGAAAUGAGGUAAGGUUUAAAAAGACUCAACAGUGACAACACCACGUUUGAGGGGCAGGGGUCCUGCCUGCGGCAUGUGGAAGUUCCUGGGCCAGAUGUGGUACCCACGCCACAGCUGUGACACCAACCCCUGAAGUGACAAUGCCACAUCCUUAACGCAGGGCUCCACAAGAGAAUGGCUAUAAAGGCUCAGUAGUGAUCAACUUACUCAUCCUAGCAUCCAUAUAAAAUCACCUUUAUGGAGUUCCCGUCGUGGCUCAUUUUUAUUGCUUUUAAGAGAUAGACAUUCUCUACCUCUUGAUCUUGGUUGUAGCUGCAAUAUUCAAAAGUUAUAUUUGUGACAUGUUACAAGGUAUACACUUAAGAUUUGAAUUUUUUUACCCUAUGUUAAUAAUACCACUAUAAGAAUAUGUUCACAUCUUAAAGCAGCUAGAUCUUUGCAAAGCUGACCUGGGUUCUCAGUUGCUGUAGAUAUAAAAGAGUGAUGGCAAUGCUGUCUCCUCCUCAUGGUUGUGGGAUUUACGUAACCACAUGAAGAGCUAUUUCCUGCCCAAUAAAAAUUUCCUAUAUAAAACAGGUGGCACUGAUGUUGAGAAACAAAGGUUAAGCCCAUUGUGAUUACUUUGAAGGGUUUGGGAAUCUGGGCAAGGCUAUGGCUCCCUCCCUGCCUCCCUGCUCCUGGCUGUGGUGUGAGUACUGCUCCAACCCGAUCCACUACCUACGCCGCCAAGAAGAGCUGGCCUGACCCUGACGCGCCCAGGGGUGUGAGGGUACUCUGUGGCAGUGCUGAGACCGACCUCUGAACACUGGCCAGGGCGCCAGGAACCCGCUGUUGGCCUUUCCGGAAAGCAGCCACCGGCUUCCUGAGCCUACUCUUAAUUACAGUGUGGACCUUCAACGGAAAACCCCUUUAUCCCCAGGUUUGUGUCUGGAUGGUUCUCUGGGCCUUUCCCCUUGUAUUCCCACUCCUUUGUCCCAAAGAUAAAGGGACUGCAACCUAAGAAGAAGCUAUCCAGGUGACAAAGCGUCUCCCCUUCAUUUUGAGACCAGGAACGGGGACUGGGCAAGCAACUGUGUGCUGAACACUAGAUUAUGUUUCAGGCUUUAAUACAGACAUUUGCCAUCACAGUCUGAUGAGUAAUAUUAGCGAUUUUUUUUUUUUUUGCUUUUUUUU
rnacentral:lncRNA from 1 species